GACGAACGCUGGCGGCGUGCCUAAUACAUGCAAGUUGAGCGCUGAAGGUUGGUACUUGUACCAACUGGAUGAGCAGCGAACGGGUGAGUAACGCGUGGGGAAUCUGCCUUUGAGCGGGGGACAACAUUUGGAAACGAAUGCUAAUACCGCAUAAAAACUUUAAACACAAGUUUUAAGUUUGAAAGAUGCAAUUGCAUCGCUCAAAGAUGAUCCCGCGUUGUAUUAGCUAGUUGGUGAGGUAAAGGCUCACCAAGGCGAUGAUACAUAGCCGACCUGAGAGGGUGAUCGGCCACAUUGGGACUGAGACACGGCCCAAACUCCUACGGGAGGCAGCAGUAGGGAAUCUUCGGCAAUGGACGAAAGUCUGACCGAGCAACGCCGCGUGAGUGAAGAAGGUUUUCGGAUCGUAAAACUCUGUUGGUAGUGAAGAACGUUGGUGAGAGUGGAAAGCUCAUCAAGUGACGGUAACUACCCAGAAAGGGACGGCUAACUACGUG
rnacentral:rRNA from 1 species